GUCGAUUGAAUGUGGAGAAGUGUGUUACGGAAUGCAACUGCGUGGGACUUGCAAGACAUUAUGUGAAGCAGAUGAGCGGAAACUACCAAAUGAUAUGAAAUUUAGGCUGUCAAGCCAAACACUCGGGCACUUUAGGAUUCAGCGCUCAAAAGGUUUGGAGUGGUUGGACAGCAAGACAGAAAUCAAGAUACGCCAUUCCGGCAGAGGUACAAAAUGGAAUAUUAAAUUGAACACUUUUGUCAAUUUAGUAUACUAAGCUUGUCACACAUGACCCUUGUAAAUAUUUAGUGAACACUAACUGGUAAACUGGAUGUUUUGCUAUCAUUCGUAUUUGUAUCUUAAUGUAAGAUUUGUUGCAUUGUGAUGAGGUACUAAUUUAGAUGAUUGUAAAUAGCGAUCGAAAUUACGGUAAUAUUUUACUCAGGAUAUUGUUUACACACUUAAGAAUUCACAAUAUUAAAACAAUGUACCUGGGAGACGUGAAGUUCUCUAAAUCAAACAUUCAAAUUAUAAGGUAGGUAACACUUGUGCCCUUUGAACACUAGAUUUGAUUGUGAAAAAUGAAACUAGGUCCACGUCGUUGUAGAGGGUUUGUGAUGAGAGGUAUGGCGUAGAAGUAUCAGUUGAUACGAAUAACAGUAUUAAUUGUUAAUUAAGAGCAAUUAAAGUCAAAAUAGUUGUGAAAAGGUAAAAAAAGUUUUGCUUUCAGAAAAUUUGAAAAUCAUUAAAUUACUGCGAAUGCUCGAAUAGUGAUCAGAUAUGCCUGUGAGUUAUGUAAUUGGGGAUAUUUUGAAUGUAAGUUUCCAGUCGCAGGUGAACAGCGUUCAGAGAUUUCAGGUAUGAUAUAAUGAAGUGAUGAAAUUUGUGAAGCCAUGAUUUGCAAAUUUAAUUCUAUAUUUCUACCUAAUAUAGACGAAUUAAGGGUCACACUGAAAUAUGAAAGUAAGUUGUGAAUGACAGA